rnacentral:rRNA from 1 species
GAUGAACGCUGGCGGCGUGCCUAAUACAUGCAAGUCGAGCGAACAGACGAGGAGCUUGCUCCUCUGACGUUAGCGGCGGACGGGUGAGUAACACGUGGAUAACCUACCUAUAAGACUGGGAUAACUUCGGGAAACCGGAGCUAAUACCGGAUAAUAUAUUGAACCGCAUGGUUCAAUAGUGAAAGACGGUUUUGCUGUCACUUAUAGAUGGAUCCGCGCCGCAUUAGCUAGUUGGUAAGGUAACGGCUUACCAAGGCAACGAUGCGUAGCCGACCUGAGAGGGUGAUCGGCCACACUGGAACUGAGACACGGUCCAGACUCCUACGGGAGGCAGCAGUGGGGAAUCUUCCGCAAAGGGCGAAAGCCUGACGGAGCAACGCCGCGUGAGUGAUGAAGGUCUUCGGAUCGUAAAACUCUGUUAUUAGGGAAGAACAAAUGUGUAAGUAACUAUGCACGUCUUGACGGUACCUAAUCAGAAAGCCACGGCUAACUACGUG